ACCUGGUGGUCCCCUGCUCCCGGGAGGUCACCAUAUUGAUGCCGAACUUAGUGUGGACACCCGAUCGGCAUAGCGCACUACAGCCCAGAACUCCUGGACUCCAGCGAUCCUCCAGCCUCAGCCUCCCAAGUAGCUGGGACUACAGGCACGUGCCACCGCGCCCGGCAUUUUGUUCACUGACGUGCAUUUUGUUCACUGCUGUGCCCAUUUUCUCACAGUGCCUAGCCCAAAUAUUUCAUGACUGUUUACUAAAGGUGUAUUUCUGAUUCUAUGUAAGUGAACAGAGAUGUGAUGAGAGGAUAAAGGGGAAAUGCACCCCCUCAAAAAGCUUAUUACUUCACAAGGUAUCCCAUGUUGAGAUAAACGCAGAGUAAACCUCAUGCCUAAAUAUGUCCUGUUUCCUCAAAGAGGCCUGCCUAGUACCAGGGUGCCUUGUGAAAGGUUCAGAUAAGCAAUUUAAUGCAAAUCAUAAAAUGCAAACCCACUUCUUUCUGGGAUGGUAAUGUUGUAGCACCCUAAAAGAGAGAGCGUUUGAAUUAUUUUGGAGAAUAUUCUGCUUCAAGGACCUAGAGUCAUAACUCACACAAAAAAGUCAAGAUUUAAAUAUAAAACAGGGGCUCAAGAGUGAGCCAUGUUGAGAUUGUAUAUCAGUUUUCUCUUGCCCUGAUUUGAAAAUCUUUCACUGUUUAAAUCUGUUGAUUUCUAAAUUGUAACUAUAAUGCCGGGACAGGAGAUGGGACCCCUAGUUUUUAUUUAGCACUUGACUGAAAUGUAACAUGACUUCAAGAUUCUUUUAUAUUAAAAAAAAAGUCAGCUAUUGUUCAUCUCCAGUGAAAUGAAUAAAACUUAGAUGACAGGGACUUAAAGGUAGACAAAAAGAUGUAGGA
rnacentral:lncRNA from 10 species